rnacentral:rRNA from 1 species
UACAGAGGGUGCUAGCGUUGUUCGGAAUCAUUGGGCGUAAAGGGCGUGUAGGCGGUUUGUUAAGUCAUGUGUGAAAGCCCCCGGCUCAACCGGGGAACGACGCAUGAAACUGGCAAGCUAGAGUACCGAAGAGGGGGGUGGAAUUCCCGGUGUAGCGGUGAAAUGCGUAGAUAUCAGGAGGAACACCUGUGGUGUAGACGGCUUACUGGACCGCAACUGACGCUGAGACACGAAAGCGUGGGUAGCAAACAGG